AACACGUGUGCAACCUGCCUUUAUCUGGGGGAUAGCCUUUCGAAAGGAAGAUUAAUACCCCAUAAUAUAUUGAGUGGCAUCACUUGAUAUUGAAAACUCCGGUGGAUAGAGAUGGGCACGCGCAAGAUUAGAUAGUUGGUGAGGUAACGGCUCACCAAGUCAAUGAUCUUUAGGGGGCCUGAGAGGGUGAUCCCCCACACUGGUACUGAGACACGGACCAGACUCCUACGGGAGGCAGCAGUGAGGAAUAUUGGACAAUGGGUGAGAGCCUGAUCCAGCCAUCCCGCGUGAAGGACGACUGCCCUAUGGGUUGUAAACUUCUUUUAUACUGGGAUAAACCUACCCUCGUGAGGGUAGCUGAAGGUACAGUAUGAAUAAGCACCGGCUAACUCCGUGCCAGCAGCCGCGGUAAUACGGAGGGUGCAAGCGUUAUCCGGAUUUAUUGGGUUUAAAGGGUCCGUAGGCGGACUCGUAAGUCAGUGGUGAAAUCUCAUAGCUUAACUAUGAAACUGCCAUUGAUACUGCGGGUCUUGAGUAAAGUAGAAGUGGCUGGAAUAAGUAGUGUAGCGGUGAAAUGCAUAGAUAUUACUUAG
rnacentral:rRNA from 1 species